UUUCCGUAGGUGAACCUGCGGAAGGAUCAUUAUUGUAUAACCGAGGUGCGAGGGCUGUCGCUGACCCGAAAGGUCGUGCACGCCCGAGUGCCCUGACACACAUCCAUCUCACCCCUAUGUGCACCACCGCGUGGGUCCCCCUUUGGCUUGUUCGGAGAGGGGCUUACGUUUUCACACAAACUUUGUAUGCAGUGUAGAAUGUACUUUUUGUUUUUGCGAUCACGCAAUCAAUACAACUUUCAACAACGGAUCUCUUGGUUCUC
rnacentral:misc_RNA from 1 species